rnacentral:tRNA from 1 species
GCUGCUGUAACUCAGUAGGUAGAGUACUACCUUGGUAAGGUAGAAGUCACGGGUUCAAAUCCCGUCAGCAGCUCCA